rnacentral:rRNA from 1 species
CGCACUCGAUGAAGCGCGGAGGGUGAAUACACGUGGGUAACCUGCCUGUAAGACUGGGAUAACUCCGGGAAACCGGAGCUAAUACCGGAUAGUUCCUUGAACCGCAUGGUUCAAGGAUGAAAGACGGUUUCGGCUGUCACUUACAGAUGGACCCGCGGCGCAUUAGCUAGUUGGUGAGGUAACGGCUCACCAAGGCGACGAUGCGUAGCCGACCUGAGAGGGUGAUCGGCCACACUGGGACUGAGACACGGCCCAGACUCCUACGGGAGGCAGCAGUAGGGAAUCUUCCGCAAUGGACGAAAGUCUGACGGAGCAACGCCGCGUGAGUGAUGAAGGUUUUCGGAUCGUAAAGCUCUGUUGUUAGGGAAGAACAAGUGCAAGAGUAACUGCUUGCACCUUGACGGUACCUAACCAGAAAGCCACGGCUAACUACGUGCCAGCAGCCGCGGUAAUACGUAGGUGGCAAGCGUUGUCCGGAAUUAUUGGGCGUAAAGGGCUCGCAGGCGGUUUCUUAAGUCUGAUGUGAAAGCCCCCGGCUCAACCGGGGAGGGUCUGGG